AUUCUUGCGCUUAGGGCAAUGACGCAGCUAGUGAGGUAUUAACCGAGGCGCGUCUAUUGCUGGUUGAAAACUAUUUCCAAAAAAAAAAGUCGUCAUCAAUAAUAUUUUGACAACUCACUUGUCCACAAAUGAG
rnacentral:snRNA from 1 species